AGCGAGAACGGCAAACCCGCCGCGAGGCGGGGACGCAAAGCCACGGGACUGACCCGCAAGGGCUCCAGUUAGCCGGGUUGCCGAAG
rfam:Armatimonadetes bacterium 13_1_40CM_64_14 13_1_40cm_scaffold_945, whole genome shotgun sequence.